rnacentral:rRNA from 1 species
UACGUAGGGGGCAAGCGUUAUCCGGAUUUACUGGGUGUAAAGGGAGCGUAGACGGCCAUGCAAGCUCGGUGUGAAAGGUGCGGGCACAACCCGCAGACUGCACUGAGAACUGUGUGGCUGGAGUGCCGGAGGGGCAGGCGGAAUUCCUGGUGUAGCGGUGAAAUGCGUAGAUAUCAGGAGGAACACCGGUGGCGAAGGCGGCCUGCUGGACGGCGACUGACGUUGAGGCUCGAGAGCGUGGGGAGCGA